GUUGCAUUAGCUCAAUAGGUAGAGCACUUGGCUGAUGACCAAGGUGUUGGGAGUUCGACUCUCCCAUGCAAACA
rnacentral:tRNA from 1 species